AUUAAACGCUGGCGGCAUGCCUUACACAUGCAAGUCGAACGGCAGCACGGGGGCAACCCUGGUGGCGAGUGGCGGACGGGUGAGUAAAGCAUCGGAACGUAUCCUGGAGUGGGGGAUAACGUAGCGAAAGUUACGCUAAUACCGCAUAUUCUGUGAGCAGGAAAGCAGGGGAUCGCAAGACCUUGCGCUCUGGGAGCGGCCGAUGUCGGAUUAGCUAGUUGGUGGGGUAAAGGCCUACCAAGGCGACGAUCCGUAGCGGGUCUGAGAGGAUGAUCCGCCACACUGGGACUGAGACACGGUCCAGACUCCUACGGGAGGCAGCAGUGGGGGAAUUUUGGACAAUGGGGGGCAACCCUGAUCCAGCCAUGCCGCGUGAGUGAAGAAGGCCUUC
rnacentral:rRNA from 1 species